rnacentral:rRNA from 1 species
GUCUAAGUUAUAAACUUACUCAAAGUGAAACCGCGUAAUGGCUCAUUAAAUCAGUUAUGGUUUAUUAGAUCGUACGUACCACAUGGAUAACUGUGGUAAUUCUAGAGCUAAUACAUGCUUAAAAGUCGAAUCGCGAGGUUCGGCCGCUUUUAUUAGAACAAAAACUAACCGUUUUUGGUGACUCUGGAUAACUUUGUGCCGAUCGCACGGUCUCGUACCGGCGACGUAUCUUUCAAAUGUCUGCCUUAUCAACUGUCGAUGGUAGGUUAUAUGCCUACCAUGGUCGUAACGGGUAACGGAGAAUCAGGGUUCGAUUCCGGAGAGGGAGCCUGAGAAACGGCUACCACAUCCAAGGAAGGCAGCAGGCGCGCAAAUUACCCACUCCCGGCGCGGGGAGGUAGUGACGAUAAAUAACAAUGCAGGUCUCUCACGAGACCCUGUAAUUGGAAUGAGAUCACUUUAAAUCCUUUAACGAGGAUCUAUUGGAGGGCAAGUCUGGUGCCAGCAGCCGCGGUAAUUCCAGCUCCAAAAGCGUAUAUUAAAGUUGUUGCAGUUAAAAAGCUCGUAGUUGGAUCUCGGGUAACGGGAGGAAGCCCGCUUCACCGCGAUCGUUUCCUCGUCCGACCUAUAAUUCGUCCUGUCUUAGAUGCUCUUCACCGAGUGUCUUAGGUAGAACGGAACUUUUACUUUGAAAAAAUUAGAGUGCUCAAAGCAGGCUCGACGCCUCGAAUAUCGAUGCAUGGAAUAAUGGAAUAGGACCUCGGUUCUAUUUUGUUGGUUUUCGGAAUCCGAGGUAAUGAUUAAGAGGAACGGACGGGGGCAUCCGUACUGUGGCGCUAGAGGUGAAAUUCUUGGACCGCCGCAAGACGAACAACUGCGAAAG